UGUCAUGUUGGACAUCCUUUUUACACUUUCUAACACUCAGGAACAAGAAAACCAGAUCAACUGUACAAGAGAUACAACUCAAGAUCGAGGCUUCCAUCAACACCACCAGAGGAGUUAUCUCAUCCUGUACAGUGUGAGACCGACCCUACUGCUGUGAAUAGAGUUGUGGUUUAUGGUGAUCUAACUUACACUCCACCUUCUGUAAGUGAAUACACAUCUACAUGAACAGUUACUUGGUGAUUUUUUUCUGAUAUGUAUUCUAUA